UACACUUGAAGUACCAGAUCUAUUCUACUAUGGCUCCACUGAAGAAGUCUUUGGAGACCUAGUGAUGUUAUGAUAGCAACACAGACUGAAAACAGAUCAACUAGGAGGGAAGACCCCUAAAAAAUUUCAAAUGGAGGUGUGGAGCCCUGUGCAAAUUUUGAUUGGAGACGAGGACCGCUUUGAAUUGUCCAACGGCCCCGGUCAGGCCCCAAUCACCUGUCCCUGACUAGUAGGACCAACCUGUGGGAGCAAAAAAUCUGUGAGGAUGUGCUACACUAUCUGCACCCCGCUUUUCAAAAUCCUACAUCAGCCCAGGCUGCUGUGAUAAAGCCACUGACUUCAGCAGGCAAGAGCCUACCCUCAUACAAGAGGCAGAUUCCAGUCAAAGCAAACGAGUGUUCUCCAGAAGAAUGCUAUCCUGAUGGACCAAAUGGAUACGAGCAAAACCACUGAGUGAUUUCCAGUGUAAAAAGAAAAUGUUAAAAAUGCAUUUCCCAUGGAACAUUCAACAAAAGAAAUACAUCCAUGGGUUUCCAACAAAUGAGGUUGGAAUAUCAAACUGUAGAGAGAAAAAGAAAAGCAACAUGAAAGCAGAAUUUCAAGAGAACAUAUAACCAAAGCAGCAAAGAGGUGU